ensembl:lncRNA
UUAUUGCACCUUAUUGAGGUAGGAUUCAGGCCUACCUCUUCUGUUCAUCAGUUAGCCCCUUAUUGAGGUAGGAUCCAGGCCUACCUCUUCUGUUCAUCAGUUAGCCCCUUAUUGAGGUAGGAUCCAGGCCUACCUCUUCUGUUCAUCAGUUAGCCCCUUAUUGAAGUAGGAUACAUGACUACCUCUUCCGUUCAUCAGUUAGCCCCUUAUUGAGGUAGGAUACAAGACUACCUCUUCCGUUCAUCAGUUAGCCCCUUAUUGAGGUAGGAUCCAGGCCUACCUCUUCCGUUCAUCAGUUAGCCCCUAUUGAGGUAGGAUCCAGGCCUACCUCUUCCGUUCAUCAGUUAGCCCCUUAUUGAGGUAGGAUACAAGACUACCUCUUCCGUUCAUC